UACGUAGGGCGCAAGCGUUAUCCGGAAUUAUUGGGCGUAAAGAGCUCGUAGGCGGUCUGUUGCGUCCGCUGUGAAAACUCGGGGCUUAACCCCGAGCCUGCAGUGGAUACGGGCAGACUAGAGGUAGGUAGGGGAGAAUGGAAUUCCCGGUGUAGCGGUGAAAUGCGCAGAUAUCAGGAGGAACACCGGUGGCGAAGGCGGGUCUCUGGGCCGAUACUGACGCUGAGGAGCGAAAGCGUGGGGAGCGAACAGG
rnacentral:rRNA from 1 species